CCUACGGGAGGCAGCAGUCGAGAAUCAUUCACAAUGGGGGAAACCCUGAUGGUGCGACGCCGCGUGGGGGAAUGAAGGUCUUCGGAUUGUAAACCCCUGUCAUGUGGGCGCAAAUUAAAAAGAUAGUACCACAAGAGGAAGAGACGGCUAACUCUGUGCCAGCAGCCGCGGUAAUACAGAGGUCUCAAGCGUUGUUCGGAAUCACUGGGCGUAAAGCGUGCGUAGGCUGUUUCGGAAGUCGUGUGUGAAAGGCGCGGGCUCAACCCGCGGACGGGACAAGAUACUGGGAGACUAGGGUAAAGGAGGGGGGACCGGAAAUCUCGGUGUAGCAGGGAAAUGCGUAGAAAUCG
rnacentral:rRNA from 1 species